rnacentral:tRNA from 1 species
ACCUGGCUGGUUCAAUCAGUAGAGCAUGAGUCUCUUGAUCUCGGGGUUGUGAGUUCAAGCCCCACGUUGGGCA